rnacentral:lncRNA from 1 species
AAUAAUAAUAGAAAAAUGUUUAUGGACGAAGUAAUAUAUAAAUGAGAAAACGAGUCUUGCAGACUCCCGUUCUCAACAGAAGAUUUAAGAACCCAAAUUCACAUCGAAUUCAUGAAGUAAAUCAAAAUAUAUCUCAAGUAAAUUAACAAUCGAAGCUGAAAAAUUAAAUCAUAACAGAGUAAUGAUAAUGACAUGUAGUAGUUGAACAAAAAGAGACCUGAAUGAUGUCCAUAAACAACCGAAAAUGUAAAACAGAACAUCAUAGCCAACUGGAAGAUACUUAUUUAUACUGCUCUUUUUAGGUGAAAACAUUAGCAAGAAGUAAUCACUAAUCAGUAGAAACAAAGUCAACUGGCAACCAUAAAUCUAAAAUUCCGAAAACUGCAUCUUCGUCCAAUCUUAGUUUACAAGGUCUCAAAAGGGAAUAACAGCAUUUUACCCUGACCACCCCCCCACCCCCCCUUCAAGGCUUCUCACCUAAACCACCAUCUUUGAAUGGCAGAGAUUGGAGAGUUCAAGAAUGGAACAUAGCGUUGGAUAAAUGGAUUUACAGUCUGACCGAUCUUAGACCAUGCACUUUGAUGGUAACCAGCAGUUGCAGGAGCUCGAUACAUAAGCUUUAAAAGCUGCAAGAAAAAGUUCCACGUACCUAUUAAUGCUAAUACCACAAUAAAGUGUAAAUUAUUUUUUACGAGAACUAGGAGUACGUCCAAGAACAACAGUAACUUGAUCACAAAAUGGCUCAAUGACAACAAAAAUCAUAUAUCUACUCAACAGGUUAUAAAUGGCCAGAACCAUGACACCAGAUUUUAUAA